CACUGGCCAGAAGGAGCCAUUUCUGCUUAAUUGAGUUCAGUCAGUAGUUAGGUCUGCCUCUUGCAGUGAACAGAAUAAAGCAGCCUAUGGUUCACUCCCAGGGGCCACCACACAAGUGUGUCCAUGCAGCUGGAAUUUCAGGUGUGUCACCCUGGAGCUGAGGCCUCCAGAUGGACUCGUAGAAGGGAGAUGUGUAAGGCUCCAUCCCUCAGCAGCCCACGAUCUCUGAAGGUUUGCCACUGUGGCCAAUGUUUUAUGGAAGCUUCUGAGGCCGUAGAGCAGAGGGAAGUUCUGAGCACACGGAGGACAAGCCAGGGUGGUGCUGUGUGGCCGCAAACAACCCUAAGUAGGGGAUACGUGUGGGGGACAGGCUCUAACACCUUGAUUCCUUAUGUCUGUGUCUCUGCAGUAUGUUUCAUGGAGAGUCUGAGUGACAGCAACCAUGAUGAAAGUGAUACAGACUCAGUGGUGGAGAGCAUGAGCAGCCGCCAGGAUGAGGAGGCUGCAGCAACCCUCGAUGAUGUUGUGGAGGCCGGCGGGAGUGAGAAGACGGAGGAAGAGGCCCUGGCUGGGGCAAAUGAGGAGGAGGUGGGGCCGGGAACUGAGAAGGUGCAGGAGGAGGCUGCCUGCAUUGACGAGGCAGAGGAGGAGGCAGGCCCAUCCCUUGAAAAUGACGAGGAGUCCCCAGCCAGCGACCUGGUUGAGCAGGAAGACCAGCUUGCCCCCAAGGUAAGCUCACCUUUCUUGAUCGGAGAUUUAAAAAGGUGCCUCCUUUCUUCUUGG
rnacentral:lncRNA from 1 species